UCAUCUUCGGGGGUAGAGCACUGUUUCGGCUAGGGGGUCAUCCCGACUUACCAACCCGAUGCAAACUACGAAUACCGAAGAAUGUUAUCACGGGAGACACACGGCGGGUGCUAACGUCCGUCGUGAAGAGGGAAACAACCCAGACCGCCAGCUAAGGUCCCAAAGUCAUGGUUAAGUGGGAAACGAUGUGGGAAGGCACAGACAGCCAGGAUGUUGGCUUAGAAGCAGCCAUCAUUUAAAGAAAGCGUAAUAGCUCACUGGUCGAGUCGGCCUGCGCGGAAGAUGUAACGGGGCUAAACCAUGCACCGAAGCUGCGGCAGCGACACUAUGUGUUGUUGGGUAGGGGAGCGUUCUGUAAGCCUGCGAAGGUGACCUGUGAGGGUUGCUGGAGGUAUCAGAAGUGCGAAUGCUGACAUAAGUAACGAUAAAGCGGGUGAAAAGCCCGCUCGCCGGAAGACCAAGGGUUCCUGUCCAACGUUAAUCGGGGCAGGGUGAGUCGACCCCUAAGGCGAGGCCGAAAGGCGUAGUCGAUGGGAAACAGGUUAAUAUUCCUGUACUUGGUGUUACUGCGAAGGGGGGACGGAGAAGGCUAUGUUAGCCGGGCGACGGUUGUCCCGGUUUAAGCAUGUAGGCUAAUUGUCCAGGCAAAUCCGGAUAAUCAAGGCUGAGGUGUGAUGACGAGGUACUACGGUGCUGAAGUAACAAAUGCCCUGCUUCCAGGAAAAGCCUCUAAGCAUCAGGUAACAUCAAAUCGUACCCCAAACCGACACAGGUGGUCAGGUAGAGAAUACCAAGGCGCUUGAGAGAACUCGGGUGAAGGAACUAGGCAAAAUGGUGCCGUAACUUCGGGAGAAGGCACGCUGGUGUGUAGGUGAAGCCCCUGCGGGUGGAGCUGAGACCAGUCGAAGAUACCAGCUGGCUGCAACUGUUUAUUAAAAACAC
rnacentral:rRNA from 1 species